GCCAUUUCUUUGGUCUUCUCAAAAAAGAGCAGAAGGAUGAAGAAGCUGUGUAUAUAAACAGUUGUCAGCCAAAACUAUGAAUCUUUUUAAAGGUUUGAGAGACACUAGUUUAGCUCCAGUUCAUAUAAAACAUUAACUCUCCCAGGACUUUCCUCGUUGCUUGUGCAGCUGGAGCCUUCUUUUUCUCCUGCAGCUGUGACAGUUGAGUUAUCAGCAUAUGUUUUCUGGAUGAACAUUUUCCUCCCAGGUAAGAAGCCUGCUUGAUCUACAUAUAUCCAUCCCGAGCUCCAGUGGCCUAGUGGAUUAAAGCCUUGUGACUUGUAGGUUGGGUUGCUGACCUGAAGGCUGCAAGGUUCAAAUCCCACCUGGGGAGAGUGCGGAUGAGCUCCCUCUAUCAGCUCCAGCUCUGUGCGGGGACAUGAGAGAAGCCUCCCACAAGGAUGGUAAACAUCAAAACAUCCGGGCGUCCCCUGGGCAACGUCCUUGCAGACAGCCAAUUCUCUCACACCAGAAGCAACUCAGGUUGCUCCUGACAUGAAAAAAGCACUAUUUUUAAAAUGUCAUAGUUUUUUUCUCCUUCUUCUCUUCUUUGUUCUGUUUAUUUCAACUUCAGCAAAUUGAGCUCAACAUGCAAAAGUAGUUUGUACACAAUUAACCCAGGAAAUGGAAGAUAAGGAGAACAGAUUGUCUUUUGCUUUUACCUUUGUUUUCCCAACAACAGUAAGCUGUAAUGCCUACCUAGUAGCUUUCGGACCUGCAAUUGUGAAUAAUUGGUAGGGAAAGGAGAGGAGCCCAGAGAAAGGAUGUCUUCCUUAAGAACAAUGCCUUUUGUCUCCUUGAGAGUAAGGAGAUUGGGAGGGAAAGCAGAGGAGACCAUGAAGAGAAAUGGUGUCUGCCUUAAAAAUGAUGCCUCCUAUCUCUUUAAGAGUAAGGGGUUGGGAGAGAGAAAAGAGGAGCCUAUAGAGAAAAAUGGUGUAGAAUGAUUCCUCCUGUCUCCUCUAAGCAGAUGGUUGAGCUGAGAGGAGGCAACCCUAUGUUAUGGGGGUAAGUAAAUUUUCAGUUUUCUUUAAAGAUGGAACACCAGGCAAAUAAGAUGAUUUCUUGUACAAAAAAAUACAAUUUCCCACACUUUCCCCCAAUUUGGCAAGCUCUGUCUUAUGAAGUCCUCAACCUCAUUGCAGAUACUCAAAUGCAUUUUGAGUGCACCAUAUGCUCUGGGAUGUAAAAUAAGCUACCAUCCACAUUUAUCUUAGUGUUUUCCUACUAGCAAUAUAUACAUCUAGUGAAGCAAGACACAGCAUGAAGACUUUAUAAGUUCUGCAGUCAUUAACUGAUGCUUCAUGGAAUAAAUAAUACCUAAAAAUUCUAAAUUGAUAAACCAGAUUCUACUUUGAAAAACAACUAAACAUUAAUUUAAACCAAUACUUUAUUUAUUUUGAUCAUGUUACAUAAAGCAAUUCCAUACUGCAGAAGGUUUUAGUCUUCCAUGUUGAAUUUCAUUAUUUAUCCUAAUCUAAUAAUCUAAUCCACUUUGGGGCUAAGGAAAUUAUCACACAAGUCUCCUAAAAUGACUUCUGCUGUGGAAAACCCAUCUUGCUUGAGAUGGAAACAUGUCUGCCUAGCCUGUCUUCUAACCACACAAAGAUAUUUGAACAUGCUACAAGAAAGCUAAAAAUGUUUUGAUCUUACUGCAGCUGCACGGAUGUGAAUCGUCCCAAUCUAUGCUGUCCCCAUCUUCAUACAUACCCCUUCCCCUUUGUUUUGUUUUUAAUGUGAAAACUGCAUAACUUCAAGAGUUCAGAGGUUUGAAGCUGCAUGCCCCUGAAUUUUUGUGUUUUCACAAUACCGAAGCACUGGUCAUAUGCAACCUAAAAUAUUAAAAAGUAAGCACUUUCCAUAUAUGAAGCUGACUGUGAGAAAAAAUGUCUUCAAUAUGAGCCAGGUGACAUCUAUUUUCUGAUUAUUUACAUCCUAUUUUAAUCUGCUUCAAGUACUUUGGAAAUGAAAUGAUCUGUGCUGAUGAAUGGCAGAAGAGAACACCUGGAGUGACAUCAAUAGUUCAACUCUUCAAUAAUUCAGAUAGAUCCUAACAAAAUAGCAAACGACGUGAAAAGGUGUUUUCCCAAAGAUUGCUGGAAUCUAGUCCAUAGGUCAAUCUUUCCAGGUCUAUCAGCCUGUUGGACACACAAUACAGCAUAAAAGAGAACUCUGAUUUCACAAAAUAAUGAGUCAACUAUAAUACAUUUAUUUAUUUAUUUAUUUAUUAUUUAAACUUAUAUGCCGCCACUCCCCUAGGGCUCGGGGCGGCUUACAAGAAAGGCUAAAAUCUAACAAUUUAAAAACAUCUUUAAAAUAUCUUUUUAAAAAAUCUUAAGAACACUCCCCCAGGGCUCAGAGUGGCUUACAAAAACAGCUAAAAUAUAAGCAAUUUAAAAACAGCAAUAGCGGAGAUCAAAAGCCUGCCAAAACAGGUGUGUCUUACAUGCCCUGCGGAAGACUGAUAAGUACCGCAAGGCACGAACUUCAGGCGGCAGAGUGUUCCAGAGUGAUGGCGCCACUGAUGUAAAAGCCCUACGUCUAGUUGCUGUUAGGCGCAAGGUCUUAAAACUGGGAACUUGCAAUAGAUCUUGGUCUUCCGAACGGAGGGAUCUCUGGGGUUGUUAAGGGGUGAGGCGGUCCCUCAGGUACAUUGGCCCUAAACCAUGUAAGGCCUUAAAGGUAAGCACCAUCACUUUGAAAGUGAUCCGGUACUCAAUUGGUAACCAGUGCAGCUGUAGUAGGAUAAAUAAACUUUAUUUUUAUAUCCCGUCCCAUCUCCCCGAAGGGACUCAGGGCGGCUCACAACAGGGACAAGCCUGAAACAACGACACAACAUAUUUGACAAAAACUUAAAACAUUUCAACGAUACAGAAAAUAAAAUAAUGGACAAUACAUUAAAAUCCAAGCAGAUAAAAUCAGAGUAAUUAAAAGCAAACCAGUGGGGACAGGUUUCAUAAAGUGCUGUAUCAUGGAAAUGAGUAACAGUGAUAAAGUGCCAUAUGCUUUUAAAACAUAAAGAAGUAUUCUGAUGACAGUUCUAUUGGGCCUAUUCAUUCAAACGUGCUCUGGAACAACCAUGUUUUCAAUUCCCAGUGGAAAAUGGACAGGGAAGGAGUUAACCUGAUCUCCUUAGGGAGAGAGUUCCAGAGCCUGGGGGUCACUGCCGAGAAGGCCCUCUCCCUCGUCCCCACCAGCCGCAUUUGAGAGGAGCGCCUCCCCAGAUGAUCUUAGGGUUCGCGUUGGUUCAUAGGAGAGGAGGCGAUCACGGAGAUAGUGAUGCUAGAUAUCUUUCCCCCAUCAAGAACCCUUGCUUCCAUGUCAAUGCAAAAGGAAUAUAUAUAUAUCUUUAUGGGUUUCAGAUCCUUGUUAGAUAAUUCUUACUAGCUUAGCUGUGCCCUAGAAAAAAAUUGUGACAUAUAGAGGCAGUCCCCAGGUUAUGAACAAGAAUAGGUUCUGUAGGAUUGUUCUUAAGUUGAAUUUGAACAUAAGCUGGAACAGAUACAUUGUAAGUAUAACUCCAGCCAAAAUGUUUUCUUUUGUUUUGGAUAGCAUAGGGAAGGGUUAACACCCCUGUAAUGUUUCUUUUGCUACUUGUGCCCCUGUUCCGAAGAUUUCACUGCACUUUCUGUCCUUGUGACAAUUGGAUUUUGAAAACUUUGGCUUUUUGUGGAAGCAAGGAUUGGUGAUAAAGCUUCAGUUGAGACACCCUUUCCCCAUAAUAAAUAUUUCAGGAGUGAAUUUUCCUUCCUAGGGGUAGGUUUCCUCUCUCUUCUUGUUUCAUCCCUGUUUGUAACUUGGAGCCAUACAUAAGCCAGAUGUUUAUAACUCGGGGACUGCCCACAUAUUUAGUUCCCUAAAACAAUAUGCCCAGAUUGUAUUUAUUAAGCAUUUUUCCUGUACCUUUCAAUUGCAUCAAUUUCUUAGCUAGCUAUAAAUAAUAAUAAUGAACAAUAAUAGCAGAGGGGAGACUCCUAUUUCUCUUCUGAAUAUAAAAUCUAGCUAGGGAAUUAUUCUUCUCUGUUUGAUAUCAUGACAAAAUGAAUACCCUAUUCAUGCUAGGAUCAACAGAACCUUCUUCCUUGUACAUUUGCCUCAGCCUACCACACAUGUUGUAACUUGAAGUUCUUCAAGGGCCUCAUAGGUUAUUGUCUUCCUAUUGGGAAGGAAAUGCUACCAUACCAAGUCACCAUCAGAGUGUAAAGAUGUGUCCUCACUGCAGACAUCAUAGUCUUUACUUGGAUAAAGAGAUUCCAGAAAACUCUUGGGUUCCUCUUUUAAUGGUAUAUUGGUUCAUUUAAAGAAAGCUAUUGCCCUACUAUGGAUUUUUUUUUUGCUUAAUAAUAUCAUGGCAAAAGAAAGAGAAACAUUUCUUGGAAAGGGGUUAAAGCAAGAGUUUCCAUUUGAAAUGAAAUUAGACAUCUAACUAAAGAAUGCACAAUUUAAGUUCGGCUGGUAGAACUGUUUUCUCUGGAAUGUGAGAUUUUAUGGUACCCCCUCAGUUGUAAUCAUUUUGAGGAUGUAUCCACGAUAAAUUGGGUCACUGAGUAGGCUAUUGCUUUGGUGAUAAUCAUUUUAAUGUAUUCAAGACACAACAGCUAGCUAAAGGAAGACUAAGUAAUGAAUGUAAGACUCACACACACACAAGUUAAUCGUAUGGAGGGAAAGAUACUAAAAAUGUUCUAUUUCAUAUAGGAGAAAGAAAAAUCUCUGUGUAAGCAGACUAGGGAAAAUAGUCACAUACAGAAAAACCUUUGUGGUUUCACAAAAAAAGGUGGCAACCUCACCACAGCAUGAUAGUAAUUAUAUAUAAGGUAAAAUGUGUUCUUAAGUCCAAUGUGAUAGUGUUUAUAUAUCAGGUGUACUGCGAUUUUUAACUUUAGUGGGUUAGUAAUUAAAUUUAAGAUAUCUAUGAAUAAUACAUGUAGAACGAAAAGAAGCAUUAUUAUAAAAAGGGAAGUAAAAUAACCAGUUGGAGAUGUUGUUACAGAAUACGGAAAGUGCAAGCUUGCAGAUGUUUAUGUUACUCAUCUUAAAAGAUUCAUAAGAACAUGGAGGAUUUAUUAUACUCAACCCUGAAGCAGAAUAUGAGAAGAGCUCUUUAGAUGUGAAUGUAGGCACUUCUUGAAACAGGUUGUUUUCAAGCAUGGUUGUGAUUGGAACUAAUUGGCCUCUAACUGACUUAUUUGGACCAAAAGUCAUUUGAAUUCAGGACCUACUGGGGAAAACUUUGUAGAAGCAAGGACGACUCUGAUAACCUUUGCAGUAGUUCCACAAUGUAAACAAUAUUAUUCUGUCCCUUGGAGGCCUGUAAGAUGAUAAUUUUAUCAUGCAAAGACUAUGAAGCUUUUAAAAGCAUUCUCUACAAUAGUGUGUGAAACAUUGUGCCAUUUUGAGCAGCAGGAGCAGAACAAGGGAUUCAUAACUUCAGGGUAUUUUUGGGACUACAACUCACAUAAUGCCUCAGUCAUCAUUACAACUGGCCAGUUUGGCUAGGAAUUUUAGAAGUGAUAGUCCAAAUUGUUACUUUACCAUGCUCCAGGAUUCAUGUGUUCUCUGUGAUUGGCAAGCUAUUCUGAUGGUUCUUAUGGCUAAAUAACUAUAGCAUCUAUCAGUAGUGGCUAUUGGCUAAGCAAAGACAUGACAUGUUUGCUAACUGACAUUUCUAAUUAACUUGCUAAUUUGCUAAGGAGCAGAAAUCCAGUAAAUAACAUCUGAAAUGUUGAUCUACAUCCAUUCUCAGUUGCGGGGGGGGGGGGGGGGGGGCUGAGAAGAAAAUUCUAUGUCCUUUCUUACUUCCUUGCUUACCAGGUUUUCCUAACAGGACAAACUUCAUAUCAGAAGCAGACAAAAUCUCCCUUUUUGGCCAGUACUCCAUUGUUAGAGCAAACGAGAGAGUAAAGGCAGUCUGGUGACACUGGCAAUUUUUCCCUCUCAUCACUGCAGGAGUGGAAAACCUCUGGCUCAUAACCUAAAUGUGAACCUUCAGGCAUCUUAAUCCAGACCCCUAGAAUCCUUCAAGCCAAGUCUCUAUCCUUGUUAUGCAUCUAACCACAGAGCUCAUUGAGGGAAACUUGCAUGCUCUGGACGAAGUGAAUUCCACAAUACAAAUACCUACCUACAUAUAUACACACCAUCUAAAUACUGAGCAAAUUUAAUAGUUACUAUAGCUCGGGCUUUUACUUUCCAGUGGUUCCAGUUUGGUGGGUAAUGUUCUGAUUAAUCUCCUAUCACACCACUUGUUCAGCUGCUUUUAUAAUCACUUAGGUUUUAUUUCAUCCUUCCACUUUCCCCCUUUCUCCACUGUUUCCCUCAGUUACUGCAAACUGAAUUCAAAGAGCAAUAAUAGUUUGCACUCAAAGUAGGGUGGAGGCUAGGGAAAAGCUAGAAGCUUCCCCUUCCCUGUAGACACAAGCAAAAGCAAACUCCAGAAGCCGCUCUGACUUUACCUAUUCUUCCUAAUUAUUCACUUGCCAUCUUGUCCACAUGAUCAUCCUGAAAGAUACAUCAUUUGGGAGAACCAAGACACCUUCACUUGCUACUUCCUCCAGAUUCAACCCACUCACCACUGAAGUUCCUGACUUUGAGAAACAUAGAUAGAUGGUGAAAAAUCUAAAGGGAAAGUCAGGUGAGACUAGUGCAGGCAUGCCUUUCCAAAUCAUCUGCCAAUGAGCCAUAAUAUCUACCGAGAUGGGGAUCUUACUGGCAAGUUGACCUGUGAAAAACAUAUCAUAACAAAAACAGAAUGUUGAAGAUGUUGCAGUUAUUGAAAAGAGAUUUGUUCUCUUAAUAAAAUGCCUACAGUAAUUCUGGCAUUCAUAAAUAUUUUGAUUUUAGAGUCAUCAGUAUACAUGAGAAUUAACAUAGUGGAGAGAAUUGAGAAUGCUCGUUUUUCAUAGUUGCAAGAAAACUUCAGUGCUAAAACAAUAUAUAUAUAUACAUUGAAUUAAUGCAUUUUUCAUUUCGCAGCCCACACAAAGACUACACGUAAGAUCUAUUUCUAUAUUAUCUUUCUAUCUAGUGAGCACUUUUGUGCAGUAAUUUAAAAGUGGUAGCUUAAUGCAAAAGGAAAAACACAGUAGUUCUGUUUAGGAUCCUGAUAAUUUAGCAUGUUCUGACAAAAACAAAAAUGGUGCCGUUUGGGGCAUACGGUAUUGUCUUCCAACUGCCCUACUAGGAAAUGCAGGGAUCAUUAGCCUGUCUGAAUAAAAGAUGACUGUUUGCCUUACCUGUUCAUUAGUUUAUGGAAUAGAACAGGGAUGUUAUCAGAUAUGUAACUGGGGCAUAGUUAAAGGCAUCCAAGAAACCAUACUGCCUUUACCUCUACCAGCCACAAAGAGAACUAACAGUCCUGCAUCCUGGUAACAUAAGUGUUGAUUCCCCUCCUUAAUUCUCACCCUUUAUUUCCUUACUCUGGUUUUCUCCUCCUCUUCGCCUCUUCAUUAUUUAAAUAUUUUACAUGUAAGCUUAUAUCACAGAUCCAAGAACAAUCUACUGAUAAAUCAAUAUAAGUGGAUGAAAAGAAUUUGAAACAAUAAACAUAACUUAAAUAAACUAGAAACACACAUGUGUUAAUGUUAAAACUGUUCAAAACUUUUUACAUAAAUAUUUUAGUAUGAAUCACUUAGGUCAAAAAAGAAACCCUCCAAAAAACAGCCAUGUCUUAUUGUUGUGAUUUGAAACCCUCUAUUUGACUGUUUAUCUGGGGUUAAAUACCAUCUGUACGUCUGUACCUAUAUUUUCUAUUAAGUUAUUACAAAGAGUAAAUUUUAUAUCAUUGGACCUCAUUUUCUUCCAUACCUUGAUUUACACAUUACAACGAAAGUUUUAUGCCCACGUCAUCAUAUAUUCUUCUGUUUUAAGCUUCAGGAGAGAUUAAAAACAUUACAAAUUGCCAAUUAUAUUUAAUUUUCUUCAUACAGUUCAUUAUUUUCCUUAUCUUUCUCCUUAAGUUGUAAAUAGGAAAUCCAGACAAAAUCUAUCUUGUCUUUAAUAAGUGUCUCUCUUGCCUUAAGUUUCCAAUUACCUUGGCCCCAAUAUAAAUUUUUUUUAUAAAGUAACCGUGUCAACUUUUUAAACUACUGUCUCUGUUUAAAAAAAGUCCUCUUGAGGAUAAUGUAACUAGUAAAAAUUGGAAAAAAAUAUUUUGUUUAUAUUUGUUCCAAACUAAUGGAAGAGCCUUCAUGAUAAUACGAUUUUUAAAACCAACAUGUAUCUUGACUGUAUCAUACCAAUCACAUCUGUGCCAUCCAAAUCUUAAAUCAUGCCCUUCCAGAUCCAAAAUGUAAUUAGUGUAGAGCAAGGUGGGAGAAGGUGGCUGUCCAUAUGAUUUUGGACUUCAACUGUCAGAAUAAGGUAUAGGUCUCAUCCACACAGGAACUUUAUCACACCCCACUCUUAUUGAUGGAACUCUGUAAUAAGAUCCUUAAUCCCCUUUUGUAGAAUCUGCUGAAUUUUAUCUUACAGGUUGUAUAUUUUGUUCAGACUCUAAUGUUCUAAUGGGUUUUAUGUUGAUAUUUUAUGCUGGUUUGUAUGAUUAUACUAUUUUAUCUGUUUUACAUUGGUUUAAUUAUGCUGUAUUUUAUUGUAUUUUGGAACUGGGCUUGUCCCCAUGUGAGCCACCCCGAGUCCCCCGUUUGGGGAGAUGGGAGCGAGAUAUAAAAAUAAAGUUGUUAUUAUUAUUAUUAUUAUUAUUAUUAUUAUUAUUAUUAUUAUUAUUAUUAUUAGUAUACUCCAGCUUGAAGCCAGCUGGAGGUCAGGAUGUCCUGAUAACAUCCCCCCCCACACACACACAUGUGAACUCCAACUUGUAUCCAGCCAGAAACAGCACGAUAAAAGGACUCACAUAAAAUUCUGAUUCCAUCAGAAAAUCUACUGCAUCCCUCCUGUAUCUGAACAAGGCACAGGAAGGAGUGAAUGCCAGACAGAACACUCAUGUAAACAACAGUGGGAAAGCAGUCAGAAUACUAAGGCAGUUGGAAGGCCAACAAAGCUUCCCCCUGAAAUAUCAGCAUUCCCAUGAGAAUGCUCAAGUCUAUUGCCUUGCUUUGCUUAGCGGUAAAGCAAGUGCUGGGGAAGCUUUUUGCCAAGUGCUAAAGCAGAGCCUUCCAAACAUUUCAUGUUGGUGACACACUUUGUAGACAUACAUCAUUUUGUGACACAGUGAUUCAGUUUUACUGACAAAUCAGAGGUCAAACCAACCUCUUAUAAAAGAUUCAGACACAUACAUAAAUAAAUUGUAAUAAUGAAAUGUAUGGGAACACAGCAUUUCUCAUGAAAACCUUUGUGACGGCAUGAGUGGCGCCAUCUAUAUGUCGAACUGUAAGUUGCAAGAUUUGAAUUGUAUCAUGCCUGAUUUUGCCUUUACCCUGUACAUGUAGUUGGAUUGAUUGGUUAUUUACAGCUGCCAAUCAAUGUUGUUUGCACCAGUUAUAUUGCUCCCUCAGCUCAAUUGUUUGACUCCACCAUUUCCUGGAGUGGGUCAGUGUUUCCUUUUUCAUUCCACAUUAAGCUUUCUAUCAGAUGGACGUGAGAGAGAGAGACUUGGCUCUAAAAGCCCUUGAUUAAGUUACAUCUCAGCACCAAUUCUGAGGUUCUUACCCUUGAGACUUAUGCUUCAUGUUCAGGCCAACCUGGAUGACGUUGUGGAGUCUCAAGAGCCUUCAGAUCAGUUCUUUGGCACCAGAGGAAGUGUCUUCAAACAUAGGCCAUUUGGACUGAGGCUGAGGAUUGCUCCGGUAUUCACAGCCAUUGAGAAAGAGGGACCUGGAAAAGCUUCUCAGCUGCAAAGCUCCUUGGACUUAAGACAAUCAGAGACUGUAAUGUAUAUUUUCCUUUACCCCUUUGAAACUUCUAGCUUAUUGCCUUAAAGGGAUAACCUUUUGAAACAAUAAAACCAGUUUUGAGUUAUCUACAGUGUUAUGAUCCUUGGGAGUUCCAGCUUCCCUAAAGAAGGGCAAGAAGCAAUCCCCCGGGGAAGGAUGUCAU